rnacentral:rRNA from 1 species
GACGAACCGUGCGAACGUUAUUCGGAAUCACUGGGCUUAAAGCGCGUGUAGGCGGACGGCACGUCGGUCGCUGAAUCCCGGCUCAACCGGGAACGGCGCCGAUACGACCGGCCUGGAGGACGUAGGGACCUGGAACUUCCGGUGGAGCGGUGAAUGCGUUGAGAUCGGAAGGAACGCCGUGCGAAGCGAGUCCUGACGUUUCUGACGCUGAGACGCGAAGCCAGGAGCGAACGG